rnacentral:rRNA from 1 species
UACAGAGGGUGCAAACGUUGUUCGGAAUUACUGGGCGUAAAGCGAGUGUAGGCGGUUCGAUAAGUCGGAUGUGAAAGCCCCGGGCUCAACCCGGGAAGUGCACUCGAUACUGUCGAGCUAGAGUAUCGGAGAGGUUGGUGGAAUUCUCGGUGUAGAGGUGAAAUUCGUAGAUAUCGAGAGGAACACCGGUGGCGAAGGCGGCCAACUGGACGAAUACUGACGCUGAGACUCGAAAGCGUGGGGAGCAAACAGG